UACAGAGGUCUCAAGCGUUGUUCGGAUUCAUUGGGCGUAAAGGGUGCGUAGGUGGCGGGGUAAGUCAGGUGUGAAAUCUCGAGGCUCAACCUCGAAACUGCACUUGAUACUGCCUUGCUAGAGUACUGGAGAGGAGAUUGGAAUUUACGGUGUAGCAGUGAAAUGCGUAGAUAUCGUAAGGAAGACCAGUGGCGAAGGCGAAUCUCUGGACAGUUACUGACACUGAGGCACGAAGGCCAGGGGAGCGAACGGG
rnacentral:rRNA from 1 species